CACGUAGGGCGCAAGCGUUGUCCGGAAUUAUUGGGCGUAAAGAGCUCGUAGGCGGUCUGUUGCGUCCGCUGUGAAAACUCGGGGCUUAACCCCGAGCCUGCAGUGGAUACGGGCAGACUAGAGGUAGGUAGGGGAGAAUGGAAUUCCCGGUGUAGCGGUGAAAUGCGCAGAUAUCGGGAGGAACACCGGUGGCGAAGGCGGUUCUCUGGGCCUGCACUGACGCUCAUGCACGAAAGCGUGGGGAGCAAACAGG
rnacentral:rRNA from 1 species